rnacentral:rRNA from 1 species
GAUGAACGCUGGCGGCGUGCCUAACACAUGCAAGACGAGCGAUUCUCUUCGGAGAAGAGCGGCGGACGGGUGAGUAACGCGUGGGUAACCUGCCUCAUACACAUGGAUAACAUACCGAAAGGUAUGCUAAUACAAGAUGAUAUAAGAGAUUCGCAUGGAUUUCUUAUCAAAGCUCCGGCGGUAUGAGAUGGACCCGCGUCUGAUUAGCUAGUUGGUAAGGUAACGGCUUACCAAGGCGACGAUCAGUAGCCGACCUGAGAGGGUGAUCGGCCACAUUGGAACUGAGACACGGUCCAAACUCCUACGGGAGGCAGCAGUGGGGAAUAUUGCACAAUGGGCGAAAGCCUGAUGCAGCAACGCCGCGUGAGUGAUGAAGGCCUUCGGGUCGUAAAACUCUGUCCUCAAGGAAGAUAAUGACGGUACUUGAGGAGGAAGCCCCGGCUAACUACGUGCCAGCCGCCGCAGUAACAC